rnacentral:tRNA from 1 species
GCACCGGUGGUGUAAGGCGAACAUCGCUACCCGGAAAGCAGAAGAUGCGGGUUCGAGUCCCGCCUGGGGCA